rnacentral:lncRNA from 1 species
UCUUUAACUCUAAAUGGGGGAACAAUCUGUAAUAUUAUUCUCAUAUUAUUCUCUCUCUACUCUUCCUCGCUUUCUCUCUACUAUUUCUUCUCAUUUUUAACUCAAAUCUAUUGCCAAGAGUCAGAAAGAUUUCUUCUUCAGUAGGACAUCCAAAGCUUUUUGGGCAUCCAAUAGCAUAGAGGAAGAUACAAGAUCAUCUAAAGAUAAAUCGGCAAGCC